rnacentral:rRNA from 1 species
UACGAAGGGGGCUAGCGUUGCUCGGAAUCACUGGGCGUAAAGGGUGCGUAGGCGGGUCUUUAAGUCAGGGGUGAAAUCCUGGAGCUCAACUCCAGAACUGCCCUUUGAUACUGAAGAUCUUGAGUUCGGGAGAGGUGAGUGGAACUGCGAGUGUAGAGGUGAAAUUCGUAGAUAUUCGCAAGAACACCAGUGGCGAAGGCGGCUCACUGGCCCGAUACUGACGCUGAGGCACGAAAGCGUGGGAGCAAACAGGG